AGACAAUCUCUAGUUGUGGAGUAUAUUUCUUGAGCUGGCUUAGAUGACCCUAGACUCCAAACCUCCAGCUCUGCUCCUAUGGCAGAACAAAGAAGAGAAUCAGAACCUAGAGAGAGGAACUUCUAUGACUCUCCUCAUAGGAAUAUCCUUUGAGGUUUCCUUCCUCACCUUAAACCAGCCAUGCAUCAUCAGAGAACCCUCAGCUGCUUAUCCUGAAGGACCCCGUUGACUUGGCUGGAAUAUUUACCAUAAACACAACGAUUCAACAUUCAAGGGCAGUCACCUCAGUUAGAGACUUUUCGUGAUAGUGUGGUGAAGAAAAUGAAAUGGAGUCAUAUAAAUGAGAGUUUCUAAAUGGAAAGGAAAGGCCAUUCUGAGGGAAAUGCCACCUACAUGAUGAGAAGGAGCCAAGCCAUGGAAAGACCAGGGAAGAGGAUCCCAGGAGAAGAAAGAGCAAGCCUGUUGGAAAAAAGGAACACGAUUAACAUGGUCUCCACUCAUCCGUCUACAGAGAGUUUUAUGCAAAUAAGAUAAACAUCUUGCCUGCAGUGUCUGCACUAUGCAUACAUUAGGUAAAUACCUGCCAUUUUUUAUUCCUGCUUCAAAUCUGUUAAUAAAUGCUUACUUUCCAAUUAAAGUAGAUAAAACAUUUCAUGAAAUAGCAAUUGAGAGGUGCCUGAAUGGCUCAGUCGGUUAAGCAUCCAACUUCAGCU